GUUCCCAAUGAAAGGUGAAGCCUUUUACCCUUCACUGCUAUCUGAAGCCUACCAGUCCCCCUGAGACCAAGAGGCAGCCUUUGGCCGCAUCAGCCCUGAAACAAGCUCAGGGAGCCCCAAGAACAAGAAGAGGAAAGUGUGUUGGGCUGGAGCUAGAGCAUGGAAUAAAAAAGGCUGGCCUAUGAAAUCUGGAAGAAGUCAGAGCAAGAAGCAGGCCCUUGAGGAAAUUCCUUAUUGC